rnacentral:rRNA from 1 species
GACGAACGCUGGCGGCGUGCUUAACACAUGCAAGUCGAACGGAAAGGCCCUGCUUUUGUGGGGUGCUCGAGUGGCGAACGGGUGAGUAACACGUGAGUAACCUGCCCUUGACUUUGGGAUAACUUCAGGAAACUGGGGCUAAUACCGGCUAGGAGCUCCUGCUGCAUGGUGGGGGUUGGAAAGUUUCGGCGGUUGGGGAUGGACUCGCGGCUUAUCAGCUUGUUGGUGGGGUAGUGGCUUACCAAGGCUUUGACGGGUAGCCGGCCUGAGAGGGUGACCGGCCACAGUGGUGCUGAGAUACGGCGCAGACGCCUGCGGGAGGCAGCAGUGGGGAAUAUUGCACAAUGGGCGGAAGCCUGAUGCAGCAACGCCGCGUGCGGGAUGACGGCCUUCGGGUUGUAAGCCGCUUUCGCCUGUGACUAAGAGUGAGUGACGGGAAUGUGUAAAGAAGCACCGGCUAACUACGUG